UUACCAGGUCUUGACAUGCUGUGAAUCCUCCUGAAAGAAACGAAUGCCUUUGGGAACAUGACAAAGGUAGUCCGUUGCCAACAUCAGCUUGUGCUAUAAGGUGUUUGGUCAAGUCCUCCAGCAAGCACAACCCUUGUGUUUAAUUGCUAUCAUUGAGUUUGGAACCCUGAAUGGAUUGCUGGUGAUAAGUCAGAGAAGCUUGAGGAUAAUAUCAAGUCAUUAUGCUCCGUACACCCUAG
rnacentral:ncRNA from 1 species